CUCACGAGUGCUGGGAUUAAAUGUGUGCAUCAGCAUGCCCAGCUUACCACAGAACUUUUUGAGACACUCCAAAUCCAGUCUUAGGAUUCUCUGCAGCUCAGAUGUUGACUUUCUGCUCUCAUCUUCUUUAUCGUGAGGAGCCUCCAUCUACCCACCACUCAGUGUAAAAUAAAGGACAUGCCCAAGUGUCUGCAAAUACCAUCUUAUUUAAAACCAGUCGAGGCGGCUUUGAUGUGUUUGAUGCUAAAGGCCAAGUGAGCCUUUUGCUCUCUUUUGGUUGAUGAGACGGAGCCCCUUAUCACCCUCACACUACAAGAGCUCUUGUUGCAAGAUGGAGUCCACAUCAGUCAGCUCAACCUGGGUUUCUCCUGACACCCACAGAGAGGUCAUGGGAGUUAAGUUACUUAGCACCUGUGCGCUGACACUUGCCCUUCUCUGUGAUUCUAAGAUCUGGGAUCAGGGAGGCUGCAAGCGAACUAGUGCUCAGAGAAGGAGUACCUGCAGACACACACUGGUGGGACUCCCCUCAGGUGUCAUCUGGAGCACCUGCAGACACACACUGGUGGGACUCCCCUCAGGUGUCAUCUUAACUCUACAAAAAAGCCAAGACCCUUGUCCUCAGUGUAGCUGUUCUCAGCAGCCUCUGGAGAGCACCAGAUGCCACACCUCUGCCAAUUCUUUGUGCCAGGGCUGGUUGGCAGGGAGUGUGGCCAGCAGCAGAUGGGGCAAGGGGCAGAGAAGAGAACAUUCUGAACCAUUUUUGCAGAGUCACAUUUCUAACUUAGUCAAAAGUAGACUCUUUAAUAAUACAUAGGCUUUAAUCAACCAAAGGCUUGCCAUUGCCAAACUCUAGCAUAAAGUCGAUGCUCACAUCUGGGCGGUAAAUCCCUACAAGACAGCACUCACCAUGGAAACGCUGACACAUCCUUUCCUUCCCUCUUGGGAAUGAAACUCCUCAUUUCAGUGUGGUUUUCUUUAUUUUGAGCUGGAAUCACUUACAAGCCCUGGAACACGUCUCGUCUUGAUAGAAAACUAAAUGCUGCCCCCUGUCAGGCCUCAAAUGGAAGUGUCCUCUCAUCACAAUGGUGCACAUCCAGGUUUGGAAAACCAUGGAGACCAAGAAAAGAAAAUCCUGCAAGGUUUUUCCUAUUUCCUAGGAAAGGUGUGAACUCAGAAAGGAUUCGUGAGGAACCCAAGAGCACGUGGUAGAACCAUCACUACCCCACAGUGCCAGCCUCACAAGCUUCCAGCCCUGGGGAUUUCAAAUUAGAGAAGAUGAAGUUCCCUGCCCCAAGUUUAACAUCUAAAGUCCUGUGCUGUCUGAAGGGGGCGGCGACAGAUGCAUGACCUACAUCUUUUCAAGACAACGGCUUGCCCGAAGGCCGACAGCUCCAGUUCUGCUGUUCGGUGGCUAGAAGGCCUAUCGGGUAGACCAAAGCUCUAUGUGCAGUCCCGGGCCAGAGUGCUCAGGCUUCUACUCUGGCUCCUUUGGCUCCCAUAGCAAGAAACGGACAGUCCUCUGGGUCUCCAACAGUGUGACAGUUAUCCUAGGCUGAUGUCACAGGCUCUAUCUGAAGCAUUUAUCUAAAUUGUUCUAUUAUCAAUAAAAACUCAGGAGU